AUUGAACGCUGGCGGCAUGCCUUACACAUGCAAGUCGAACGGUAACAGGUCUUCGGAUGCUGACGAGUGGCGAACGGGUGAGUAAUACAUCGGAACGUGCCUAGUAGUGGGGGAUAACUACUCGAAAGAGUGGCUAAUACCGCAUGAGAUCUACGGAUGAAAGCAGGGGAUCGCAAGACCUUGUGCUACUAGAGCGGCCGAUGGCAGAUUAGGUAGUUGGUGGGAUAAAAGCUUACCAAGCCGACGAUCUGUAGCUGGUCUGAGAGGACGAUCAGCCACACUGGGACUGAGACACGGCCCAGACUCCUACGGGAGGCAGCAGUGGGGAAUUUUGGACAAUGGGCGCAAGCCUGAUCCAGCAAUGCCGCGUGCGGGAUGAAGGCCUUCGGGUUGUAAACUGCUUUUAUACGGAACGAAAAGCCCUGGGUUAAUACCCUGGGGUCAUGACGGUACCGUAAGAAUAAGCACCGGCUAACUACGUGCCAGCAGCCGCCGUAAUAC
rnacentral:rRNA from 1 species